CGGAGGGUGCAAGCGUUAAUCGGAAUUACUGGGCGUAAAAGCGCACGCAGGCGGUUGGAUAAGUUAGAUGUGAAAAGCCCCGGGCUCAACCCUGGGAAUUGCAUUUAAAACUGUCCAGCUAGAGUCUUGUAGAGGGGGGUAGAAUUCCAGGUGUAGCGGUGAAAUGACGUAGAGAUCUGGAGGAAUACCGGUGGCGAAGGCGGCCCCCUGGACAAAGACUGACGCUCAGGUGCGAAAGCGUGGGGAGCAAACGAGGAUU
rnacentral:rRNA from 1 species